GCACGCAAUAGAGGAUUAAUAUCAGCCACAAGGCAACCAGAAACUAUAUCCUGUACUUUUACAAAGCGAAUAAAAUGGUCGUAUUCUCCCUAUGGUCACUUAGGCACUACUCUGCUUUCCUUAAAACCAAUCUUGCAAAUUAUACAAAUUAUACUUGGGUUUGCAGAGAAACAAUUAGACAUUGAUUACCCAAUUCACUAAAUGCUGAGUUGUGGUGGGUUGGCAAAC